GGUAAAAUGACUGAAAUUUAGGUGAUAAAUUGUAAAUUUAUUUAUGGAUGUAAUUAUCCUUUUACUA
rnacentral:tRNA from 1 species